AUAGUUAAUUACUUUAUCGCAUUAAUUAAUAUUUAAUAUUUAUUAAUGAGGAAAGUCCGAACACUAAAGAGAAAUACAAUGGAUAACAUCCAUACAUCGUAAGAUGAUGAAAAGUGCAACAGAAAAUAUAUAUAAUUUAAAUAAUAAUAUAUUAAUUAAAUUAUAGUGAAAUUUUGCAAACUCUGUAUAGUGAAAUGUCAAAAUUACCAUUAAUCUUCUCGAUUAUUAUAAUGGUUGGUAGACAGAUUGAUAUAUAUGGUAACAUAUAUACUAGAUAAAUGAUAAAGAUAUAUAUUAAUUUAUAUAUACAGAAUUCGGCUUAUAUAUUAACUAUUUUU
rnacentral:RNase_P_RNA from 1 species